rnacentral:lncRNA from 1 species
AGAGAAUGAAGCAGACCAUUGUAAGGAUGUCUUUGAAAUCUAACUCAGGAGCUGACCUCAAUGACCCAGUGGUAAAGGAACAGAUGUUGGAGCAGAUAAGAAAAGAGUUUGCGAAGAACAUGAACUUCAUCCAAGGUUUUUUGGAAAACAGUUGAACUUGGAAGCCCUGAAGAAGGUCAGUGUGGGUCUGGAUGAAGAGGACCAGCCAUGAUGCUGCAACAGGAGAGGGAUGGAAGGUCAAAGAGAACCACAUGAUGUAUUAUCUACCUUAAAACACAUAAUGCAAUAUUAUUUUAGUUAAUGUUAUGAUAGUUUGAUUUGCCUUAUGAAAUAAACAUAUUAAGUAAAUGUAUAUUAGGAUAGAUUUUACAAUGUUUUACUAUUGGAACAUCAAAUUAUAAUGAUUUUUGUUAGUGUAUGAAGGUAAUGUUGUACAUAAGGGCAAUUUGAUAAGAGAAGAGGAAUAAAAAGGACAUUUGUGGUGUUUCAAGUUUGCAAUUAAAAACAUGUAUGGUGGCAGUGAGGGAUUGUCAGAGUGUAAAAGUCUUCAUAAUGAUGUUACACACUCACUCAUGGAUGUAACUGUUGACAUUCUGACAUAAAAUACAUUUCAUUAGUG